rnacentral:misc_RNA from 1 species
AAAAAAAAAAAAAAUCCAUAAUUACAAAAUCAAAAUUAUUGUGAGAGAGAGUGAAAGAGAGCAAGAAAAGGACUUUUGACAUGUUUGAGCUAUAAAGGUCCCCAUCCAUCUCAUUCUUCCAGUAAAUCAUAUUAAUUAGGUAAAACAAGGGGAGAAAGAGAGAAACUCAAUUGACUAGAAUAAGAUCUUAUAAAAUUGUCCAAUGCACAAUUGACACUGGACUCAGAUAGCAUGUGGUCCUUACAAAAAAUUUCUUCACAGUUCAUGACCAUCUAUCAGAUGGCUAGAAAGGAGAUUCAAUUCAGAAACCUAGGUUUCAAGUUGUUAAUCGUACAUCAAUGGAUCAACGGAGUAUUUUGCUCAAAGGAAAAGUUCCCUUAGUAGAGAUGUCUUUUGUGUUUGAAAAUUUUAAUAAUUGUAGUGCAAUCUACCAAUUUGGAACUAUCAGGAAUGAAUUAGAGUUACCAAUUCUAUAGGACAAGAAUCAUUCAGUCUAUCAGGACUUAACCUAGCUAUUUUCUUAGACUUUUGACUAACAAAAUUAUGAGAAUUUAAAUUUUGAUAAGAGAGUUGUUUGGUGUGAUCAGACUUUUUCUUUUCCAACUCUUUUUUCUAUUACUACUGCUACAGUGUACUGGAUACUCUUUCCACACCCCCCAACAAUCAUAAUUUCCUCUCUGUUAUCUUUUUCUCACUCUAAUCAGCUCCCAAACUUAUUCUCCUGUUAAAAAAACAUAAACCCUAAUUCCCAGUUACUUUUCCUAUUCUCUCAUCACUAAAAAAGCACUCUGUUAUGUCAAUUUCCAAAAUACUGUCCAGAAAUUCCUAUAGCCUUAUCCUAUGAUUCUAGACUAAGAACUGUCAAAUUUUUCUUUAAACGCUCUUUCAAUCCAAUCCUUAUUCAGAAUACAAUAUAUGAAUCCCUAUUAUUUUUUAAUUCUCAACACUAAAUCCUCAAUUCUAUCAAACCCUAAAUCUCCACAAAUGCAUACAAAGGUACAUCUCAAAUCUAUUCUAUGUCAAAUGCAUUGUUAAAUACAGCAUUAAUUUAAGUAAGAUACUUUCAAGUUUAAAAUCCUUCCCCCCCG